UACGUAGGGGGCUAGCGUUGUCCGGAAUCAUUGGGCGUAAAGCGCGUGUAGGCGGUCCGGUAAGUCCGCUCUGAAAGCCCGGGGCUCAACCCCGGGAGGCGGGCGGAUACUGUCGGGCUAGAGUCCGGAAGAGGCAAGUGGAAUUCCUGGUGUAGCGGUGAAAUGCGCAGAUAUCAGGAGGAACACCGAUGGCGAAGGCAGCUUGCUGGGACGGUACUGACGCUGAGACGCGAAAGCGUGGGGAGCAAACAGG
rnacentral:rRNA from 1 species